AANGGNUACACAAGNAGUUUGAGCCGGGCUCAGAAGGUCGUACCAGGGUACCCAGAUGUUUUCGGCGGACGGGUGAGUAACACGUGGGUAACCUGCCUGUAAGACUGGGAUAACUCCGGGAAACCGGAGCUAAUACCGGAUAGUUCCUUGAACCGCAUGGUUCAAGGAUGAAAGACGGUUUCGGCUGUCACUUACAGAUGGACCCGCGGCGCAUUAGCUAGUUGGUGAGGUAACGGCUCACCAAGGCGACGAUGCGUAGCCGACCUGAGAGGGUGAUCGGCCACACUGGGACUGAGACACGGCCCAGACUCCUACGGGAGGCAAGCCAGUAGGGAAUCUUCCGCAAUGGACGAAAGUCUGACGGAGCAACGCCGCGUGAGUGAUGAAGGUUUUUCGGAUCGUAAAGCUCUGUUGUUAGGGAAGAACAAGUGGCAAGAGUAACUGCUUGCACCCUGACGGUACCUUAACCAGAAAGCCACGGGCUAACUACGUGCCAGCAGCCGCGGUAAUACGUAGGUGGCAAGCGUUGUCCGGGAAUUAUUAGGCGUAAAGGGCUCGCAGGCGGUUUCUUAAGUCUGAUGUGAAAGCCCCCGGCUCAACCGGGGAGGGUCAUUGGAAACUGGGAAACUUGAGUGCAGAAGAGGAGAGUGGAAUUCCACGUGUAGCGGUGAAAUGCGUAGAGAUGUGGAGGAACACCAGUGGCGAAGGCGACUCUCUGGUCUGUAACUGACGCUGAGGAGCGAAAGCGUGGGGAGCGAACAGGAUUAGAUACCCUGGUAGUCCACGCCGUAAACGAUGAGUGCUAAGUGUUAGGGGGUUUCCGCCCCUUAGUGCUGCAGCUAACGCAUUAAGCACUCCGCCUGGGGAGUACGGUCGCAAGACUGAAACUCAAAGGAAUUGACGGGGGCCCGCACAAGCGGUGGAGCAUGUGGUUUAAUUCGAAGCAACGCGAAGAACCUUACCAGGUCUUGACAUCCUCUGACAACCCUAGAGAUAGGGCUUUCCCUUCGGGGACAGAGUGACAGGUGGUGCAUGGUUGUCGUCAGCUCGUGUCGUGAGAUGUUGGGUUAAGUCCCGCAACGAGCGCAACCCUUGAUCUUAGUUGCCAGCAUUCAGUUGGGCACUCUAAGGUGACUGCCGGUGACAAACCGGAGGAAGGUGGGGGAUGACGUCAAAUCAUCAUGCCCCUUAUGACCUGGGCUACACACGUGCUACAAUGGACAGAACAAAGGGCUGCGAGACCGCAAGGUUUAGCCAAUCCCACAAAUCUGUUCUCAGUUCGGAUCGCAGUCUGCAACUCGACUGCGUGAAGCUGGAAUCGCUAGUAAUCGCGGAUCAGCAUGCCGCGGUGAAUACGUUCCCGUGCCUUUUACCCCCCGCCCNUCACACCAACCAAGUUACCCCUUGAGUUUGUUCCUGGGUCAACAAGUUGUAACCAGGUAACCCGUAGANU
rnacentral:rRNA from 1 species